AUGCAGUCGAACGCGUUGGCCCAAUUGAUUGAUGGUGCUUGCACCUGAUGAUUWWGGRYGCCAACGAGUGGCGGACGGGUGAGUAACACGUAGGUAACCUGCCCAGAAGCGGGGGACAACAUUUGGAAACAGAUGCUAAUACCGCAUAACARCGUUGUUCGCAUGMMCAACGCUUAAAAGAUGGCUUCUCGCUAUCACUUCUGGAUGGACCUGCGGUGCAUUAGCUUGUUGGUGGGGUAAYGGCCUACCAAGGCGAUGAUGCAUAGCCGAGUUGAGAGACUGAUCGGCCACAAUGGGACUGAGACACGGCCCAUACUCCUACGGGAGGCAGCAGUAGGGAAUCUUCCACAAUGGGCGCAAGCCUGAUGGAGCAACACCGCGUGAGUGAAGAAGGGUUUCGGCUCGUAAAGCUYUGUUGUUAAAGAAGAACACGUAUGAGAGUAACUGUUCAUACGUUGACGGUAUUUAACCAGAAAGUCACGGCUAACUACGUGCCAGCAGCCGCGGUAAUACGUAGGUGGCAAGCGUUAUCCGGAUUUAUUGGGCGUAAAGAGAGUGCAGGCGGUUUUCUAAGUCUGAUGUGAAAGCCUUCGGCUUAACCGGAGAAGUGCAUCGGAAACUGGAUAACUUGAGUGCAGAAGAGGGUAGUGGAACUCCAUGUGUAGCGGUGGAAUGCGUAGAUAUAUGGAAGAACACCAGUGGCGAAGGCGGCUACCUGGUCUGCAACUGACGCUGAGACUCGAAAGCAUGGGUAGCGAAACAGGAUUAGAUACCCUGGUAGUCCAUGCCGUAAAA
rnacentral:rRNA from 1 species